ACGUAGGGGGCGAGCGUUGUCCGGAAUCAUUGGGCGUAAAGGGCUCGUAGGCGGCUCGGUAAGUUGAUCGUGAAAUCCCGGAGCUCAACUCCGGAACUGCGGUUGAUACUGCCGUGGCUAGAGUCAGGUAGAGGAGAGUAGAAUUCCCGGUGUAGCGGUGGAAUGCGCAGAUAUCGGGAGGAAUACCAUUUAGCGAAGGCGGCUCUCUGGGCCUGUACUGACGCUGAGGAGCGAAAGCGUGGGUAGCAAACAGG
rnacentral:rRNA from 1 species